UACGAGGGGUGCAAGCGUUGCUCGGAAUUAUUGGGCGUAAAGGGUAGGUAGGUGGUCUCAUUUGUCUAGGGUGAAAGCCUUGAGCUUAACUCAAGAAGUGCCCCGGAAACGGUGAGACUAGAGUCUUGGAGAGGGUCGUGGAAUUCCCGGUGUAGCGGUGAAAUGCGUAGAGAUCGGGAGGAACACCAGCGGCGAAGGCGGCGACCUGGACAAGUACUGACACUCAACUACGAAAGCGUGGGGAGCAAACAGG
rnacentral:rRNA from 1 species